GAACUUAGGACUCCAGCUACCCGAGGAACGGAAGGUUCGUGAUCUCCGAACAACAUGAGAUGGUAAAACUUCGAAAUCCAGUGUAUGUGCAGGUACUGUGCACUGGUAACGGGAUUGUAGCGGACGGAGCUGGGUGCGCGGAAUUUGAUAACCUUUCCGGACGGUAAACGAGUUUCUGAUGUACUCUUGAUCUUUAUUUCUUGAUCCACACCAUUCUGAAACUUGUUGUUGAGUGUUCAUUGUGUGGUUAAGUCUAUUAGUCCUCGACUAUUAGAAAAUGACAAGUUCUAGACGAACAAAGUGAAUUUUGUAAUUUCAAGAAGCUUUCACCUCAAAAGUAUUUCAAAA